UGUUCUGCAUACAAUGGGCGCUCAAUAAGUAAUUUUAAGCAGACGGACAUGUGUCCUGACUAAAAGCUUUUUUCAAAGGUAACGUCACCACUGCUGUGACCCUUCCAGAAGGAAGCCUGUAAUCACAUCGCUCCAGUGCCCCCGGCUUUCUCUAUUCCUCCCUUUUCUUCAAAUUUUUCAGUACUCAACCAGUCAUUUGGUCAACAAACAUUUAGUGAGUGCCAGUGACGGAGUGGGCCCAAUGAUGGAGUGGGACUAGUAAGCUAGUCCCCCUGCUUACUGCCCUGUGACUUUGCUGGCCUGCAGCCUGUGCGUCCACCCUUGUGACAAUCCUGCGGCCCCAGAGUCCCCUCGAGACCUUUUAUUGGUGGCUCAUUGCUCAGCACUUCUCCAGUUCAAACGAAACGUCCAUGUGUACUCAGGUUCCUUCUUUUGUGUGUGCUGCACCCAGAAGCAAAAUAAUUGUCCAGCUGUCCUGAGAACAGCCAACAGUUGGGAUUGUGUCAGCGAGUCUUUGUUCAGUUCCUAUAAAGGACAGUCUAUUAGGUAAUAAUCCGUUCCAAAUGGAAAACAUGUCUUUCAUAAGGCCUGAAAUUAAUUAUUGCCACAUCCCCCUUCAGGCCCACAAACAGUUCUUUCACUAUGAAAGAACAAGCUUAACUAAGUAGAAGGAGUCUUAAAAACAUCUUUUCUAGCUUUGAAAAUCAUGGGAUCUGGCCUCGGAGACAAGCAAAGGAUGACCACACAUGAGGAGCACUCCCUGAAGACAGGCAAGCUAGAGGAGGCUGGUUUGGGGAGAACCGGCACCAUCCUUGGAGGGAAGCCGUGCUUCUCAAACUGCUCUUCUUCUGUGCAGGGAACAUCAGUGAGGGUGGGCUUGUGAGGGCGAGGCUGUCACGGGGCAGCGCUUGGGGGAAGGCAUUGCCUAAUGCAGGUGAACACUGCACGAACUUAGGAGGAGUUCAUCUCAAAUCCCGACAAGAACCGUGUAAACCUGUGGCAGGUCAGAGCUCAUCAGCCUCCCCCAUAAACUCACAAGCCCAGGAAGAGGCAGGAAAGAAAGCCACAUUUCUUACACGCCAGUGCUCCUGAAGGACAGGCAGCUGCUGAUCAGGGUGUCCUCUGGAACUUUCUGUAAGGUGCACAUGUACACACACACACACACACACACACACACACACACUGUCACGGGCUCAACUCUGUCUCCCUGAUAUUCCCAUGUUGAAGUCUUAACUCCCAGUACCUCAGAAUGUGACUACGUUUGGACACAGGAUCUUUAAAAGAGGUAUUUAAGGUUAAAUGAGGUCAUUAGAGUGGGUACUAAUCCACUAUAACUGGUGUCCUUACAAUAAAAUGAGAUUAGGACACAGACACACAGAGGGACGACCAUGUGAAGACACAGGGAAGACAGCCAUCUUUAAGCCAUGGAGAGAGGCCUUAGAAGAAGCCAAACCUGCUGAAGGGGAGACUAUGCAACCCCAGAAGGAGGUAUCAUUAAAAGUGUUUUCCGGAUGAGUGAAAUAAGGCACAGAGAGGCUAAGUAACUCAGGAGGGGACACACAGUGGGACAUGUGCAAAAGGGGGACUGACAUGGAGCCGCCUCACUGUGUGAUCUCUAUGACAGUGACAAGUGCCUGACCUCUCAGCACUCAAGGAAUGUCGUUUGCUGGUGGUGCUGUGACCCCUGCGUACCUGCUCUUCCCACCGUAACCGGCACGGCUUGCGUCCACCACUGCCUACGUGAAGUACCUUCCAGCUUCUUCCCAUCCCUGCCCCCAGAUCCGCUUUCCUCUGAUUUCCACAGUAGUGAACACCGAGGCCUCCCCGCCACUCCCCGGCUGCCACGAGUCCUGGAGCCAGCCUGGCUACUGUAGGAAAGCGGCUGUCCUCAGUUCCAGACUGUCAAGGCCUAGAAAAAAAAUGCAUCCUCUCUCCUCAUAACCUCCCCUUAAAAGAAAACCUCCUGCAGGCAGAGGUGGAGACUGUCAGAGAUUCUACCCUCCUCACAAAAUUCCAAUACCGGUGGAAGAAACAAUGCUUUUGUAAUGUUUCCCUAGAUGAGGCCUGAGGCCUGUGGGCACUGAAUGGAAGGAAGGCGAUGCUUUGCAUCACGGUAUGCACGGUGCACCUUGCCCAAGACUGCGUUGCAACAUGACCAGGCGGAGACUCCAUGCCCUCUGCGACCAGAUGAAGCCUCAGUCCUCCUACCCCAAGCUCCUUCUCUUCAGCUGGGCUUGGCCCCUCCGUGUCAAUGGGCCAUCCGGAAAUUCCAUGACCCAGGGCCCCUGCGAUCAGUAGCAUGGGCUUGGCUCACCUUCUCUUGCUAUGCUGCCCACUGUCCUCUUCUUGGACCUGCUCAGGUUUGAGCUGGUGUGUUGCUACUGCCCUCUAGACGCAGGUAAUGGUCACUGAGAGCGGCUCCCAAACAGAGGAGUAUUGUGGACAAAACCCCAGUUAAGGCAGGCAGCAGAAGACGGCAAUCCGUCAGCAAUUUUGCAAAGAUAAGCUUGUGUGUCAGGUUAACAAGUUAACAUUCACUGAGGGCGCACCAUGGGCCCGGCCGUCUCCCAGCGGCCUUCCUGUGGUCAGUUAUAAACGAGGACACAUGGUUGCUGGACAGACCGCCUCCCUGGAAUGCGAUCGCGAAGUGCAAUCGUCCCAGCGAUGGAUUUUCUCAGUACUGGCAGAGGCCACAUCCAGCUUCGAGAACAGCCUUCCUUGUCAUGUUGCGCUCCCAGCUUAGGGGUGUGUUUGAUGUCAGCUGAGGCUCUCCACUGUGAGCACCGGUAGGGAGAGUAAAGUUACAGGUGGGUUAUGUUCCUCCAGCUAAGCACAGCCACGCAUGUGGAUGCCUUCUAAUAUUCUCGUAAGGCAAACAAUACAGUUUAUUGGGAGUUUAAGUAACUCCAAAAGGGGCAAACUUCCACUUACAAAAUAAAAAAAAAAGUAAGUCCUGGGCUCAUCAUGCUGACUAUAUCAUUAACGAUACUAUAUUGCAUGUUUGAAAGUUGCUAAAAGAGGGGCGCCUGGGUGGUUCAGUUGGUUAAGCGACUGCCUUCGG